rnacentral:tRNA from 1 species
GUUGUGCAGCAUUUAGAAGUAUGUAUCUGUUAUUUUAGAAUGUAUUGCUUUGUCAGUUCCCUGUAAUUAUUGCUGUUGUACGGUUUUUAUGUUGUUCAGUAUUCAAGUUGUCAUUGGUUUCCGCGUUCGGGUUUGGAGUCCAUAUUCUGUCACUCGGUUUUCAUUGCCGCUCUCUACAUCUAAUUACUCUAAUUUGCAUGUCUAUAAUGGUGGUUGGCCCUCUGUGUUUCAGGUCUUACUAACCAGCACAGUACCGCCACGAGUGAGUGAGCCAGUGUGGUAAAGUGGAGACAUUAAUCUCUUGGAUGAAGGUCGAGAUCUCAUGUUUACGAGAUUGUACGUUUACCAGUUUACUGGAUUACACGUUUAAGGAGUUACUGGUUCACUAAUCUACGUUAUCAUUUAGAGACUGAUGUAAAGAAGUAUCUAAUUAAAUAAAGUAACUUUAAACUUGUAACAGUGUUAUGGUUACAAAUUGGCGUCCAACGUGGGGCCGUGACGGCAUUACACUGGUUAGUCUCCGACGCCUGUAAUUGCUUAUAUAUAAAGUACCCGCUGAAAUUCGCGGACGAAUUUCAAAAUAGUGGGGAAAUAUGUCACGGUAUAGAACUUGAAUAAUAAAACGGGGAGAAUAUGUGUAGGCGGCCUGGUAGCUCGGUCGGUAGAGCAUCGGAACGGUAUUCCGAGGCCCCGGGUUCGAGUCCCGGUCUGGCUGCACAUUUUUCUCACCCUGUGACAUUUGGCGCCCAACGAGGGACUACUCACAAUUGAAAAUUCUACCUGGUGGCGGUUACUUCUGGUAGGACAAGAUGGUACUUUAGAAACAUUGAAUGCUGCACAGUACAGUCAAUACGGUUUUACUUUUUACUGUGAAAAAUGUUUAAACAGAAUUUUAAAAGAACAUUGAGACAAUAAGUUGCUGGAGGGUAUACAAAGCUUAAUAAUUUACAAGUAUAAUGGGUGCUGUGAUUGAAAAGCAAUAAAGACUAUAAGACAAUUUAGAAUGGGUGCUGUCAUAGAAUCACUCUAAAGUCAACAGUUCUUGUGAUAGAAAUGCUAAAAAGUCAACAGUGUUUGUGAUAGAAACACUCCAGUAAGAUAAUAACUGUGAUCACAACACUGUACUGUGAUAGAAACACUUAAGUAGCUGUGAUAGAACAUAAUUAGAAGAAAACGAUAAAUAGUAUGCUGUAAUCUAUAGACAACUUGGUACAAUGAUAGCAGACUGUUUAAAUACGCAUAUUUGAAAGAUACACACAGUAACAGACAACUAUACAAUAGAACAUUGCAAAUACCGUAUUACCAGUAACUCCAGAGAGACAAUCAAGGACCUGAUCUUCGAUGCACGAAUAAUCCAGACGAAUACACUUCCGGAACAUUCCAGGACGACAAAAUCUUUCCAACAGUGAACAUAACAAGAUUCUAUAGUGUGCACUUACAAACGAUUAACAGAUUAAAACUCUAGUAAACAUUUGGUCAAGACAUUUUUUAAGGUUUCUGUAUUGGUACAUAGUGUUCAAGUCCAGUGCUGUUCAACAAGUUGGUCUUACUAACCAGCACAGUACCGCCACGAAUGAGUGAGCCAGUGUGGUAAAGUGGAGACAUUCAUCUCUUGGAUGAAGGUCGAGAUCUCAUGUUUACGAGAUUGUACGUUUACCAGUUUACUGGAUUACACGUUUAAGGAGUUACUGGUUCUCUAAUCUACGUUAUCAUUUAGAGACUGA